rnacentral:rRNA from 1 species
GGUUAAGCGACUAAGCGUACACGGUGGAUGCCCUGGCAGUCAGAGGCGAUGAAGGACGUGCUAAUCUGCGAUAAGCGUCGGUAAGGUGAUAUGAACCGUUAUAACCGGCGAUUUCCGAAUGGGGAAACCCAGUGUGAUUCGUCACACUAUCAUUAACUGAAUCCAUAGGUUAAUGAGGCGAACCGGGGGAACUGAAACAUCUAAGUACCCCGAGGAAAAGAAAUCAACCGAGAUUCCCCCAGUAGCGGCGAGCGAACGGGGAGCAGCCCAGAGCCUGAAUCAGUGUGUGUGUUAGUGGAAGCGUCUGGAAAGGCGCGCGAUACAGGGUGACAGCCCCGUACACAAAAAUGCACAUACUGUGAGCUCGAUGAGUAGGGCGGGACACGUGGUAUCCUGUCUGAAUAUGGGGGGACCAUCCUCCAAGGCUAAAUACUCCUGACUGACCGAUAGUGAACCAGUACCGUGAGGGAAAGGCGAAAAGAACCCCGGCGAGGGGAGUGAAAAAGAACCUGAAACCGUGUACGUACAAGCAGUGGGAGCACAGAGCAAUCUGUGUGACUGCGUACCUUUUGUAUAAUGGGUCAGCGACUUAUAUUCUGUAGCAAGGUUAACCGAAUAGGGGAGCCGAAGGGAAACCGAGUCUUAACUGGGCGUUAAGUUGCAGGGUAUAGACCCGAAACCCGGUGAUCUAGCCAUGGGCAGGUUGAAGGUUGGGUAACACUAACUGGAGGACCGAACCGACUAAUGUUGAAAAAUUAGCGGAUGACUUGUGGCUGGGGGUGAAAGGCCAAUCAAACCGGGAGAUAGCUGGUUCUCCCCGAAAGCUAUUUAGGUAGCGCCUCGUGAAUUCAUCUCCGGGGGUAGAGCACUGUUUCGGCAAGGGGGUCAUCCCGACUUACCAACCCGAUGCAAACUGCGAAUACCGGAGAAUGUUAUCACGGGAGACACACGGCGGGUGCUAACGUCCGUCGUGAAGAGGGAAACAACCCAGACCGCCAGCUAAGGUCCCAAAGUCAUGGUUAAGUGGGAAACGAUGUGGGAAGGCCCAGACAGCCAGGAUGUUGGCUUAGAAGCAGCCAUCAUUUAAAGAAAGCGUAAUAGCUCACUGGUCGAGUCGGCCUGCGCGGAAGAUGUAACGGGGCUAAACCAUGCACCGAAGCUGCGGCAGCGACGCUUAUGCGUUGUUGGGUAGGGGAGCGUUCUGUAAGCCUGUGAAGGUGUGCUGUGAGGCAUGCUGGAGGUAUCAGAAGUGCGAAUGCUGACAUAAGUAACGAUAAAGCGGGUGAAAAGCCCGCUCGCCGGAAGACCAAGGGUUCCUGUCCAACGUUAAUCGGGGCAGGGUGAGUCGACCCCUAAGGCGAGGCCGAAAGGCGUAGUCGAUGGGAAACAGGUUAAUAUUCCUGUACUUGGUGUUACUGCGAAGGGGGGACGGAGAAGGCUAUGUUGGCCGGGCGACGGUUGUCCCGGUUUAAGCGUGUAGGCUGGUUUUCCAGGCAAAUCCGGAAAAUCAAGGCUGAGGCGUGAUGACGAGGCACUACGGUGCUGAAGCAACAAAUGCCCUGCUUCCAGGAAAAGCCUCUAAGCAUCAGGUAACAUCAAAUCGUACCCCAAACCGACACAGGUGGUCAGGUAGAGAAUACCAAGGCGCUUGAGAGAACUCGGGUGAAGGAACUAGGCAAAAUGGUGCCGUAACUUCGGGAGAAGGCACGCUGAUAUGUAGGUGAAGUCCCUCGCGGAUGGAGCUGAAAUCAGUCGAAGAUACCAGCUGGCUGCAACUGUUUAUUAAAAACACAGCACUGUGCAAACACGAAAGUGGACGUAUACGGUGUGACGCCUGCCCGGUGCCGGAAGGUUAAUUGAUGGGGUCAGCGCAAGCGAAGCUCUUGAUCGAAGCCCCGGUAAACGGCGGCCGUAACUAUAACGGUCCUAAGGUAGCGAAAUUCCUUGUCGGGUAAGUUCCGACCUGCACGAAUGGCGUAAUGAUGGCCAGGCUGUCUCCACCCGAGACUCAGUGAAAUUGAACUCGCUGUGAAGAUGCAGUGUACCCGCGGCAAGACGGAAAGACCCCGUGAACCUUUACUAUAGCUUGACACUGAACAUUGAGCCUUGAUGUGUAGGAUAGGUGGGAGGCUUUGAAGUGUGGACGCCAGUCUGCAUGGAGCCGACCUUGAAAUACCACCCUUUAAUGUUUGAUGUUCUAACGUUGACCCGUAAUCCGGGUUGCGGACAGUGUCUGGUGGGUAGUUUGACUGGGGCGGUCUCCUCCUAAAGAGUAACGGAGGAGCACGAAGGUUGGCUAAUCCUGGUCGGACAUCAGGAGGUUAGUGCAAUGGCAUAAGCCAGCUUGACUGCGAGCGUGACGGCGCGAGCAGGUGCGAAAGCAGGUCAUAGUGAUCCGGUGGUUCUGAAUGGAAGGGCCAUCGCUCAACGGAUAAAAGGUACUCCGGGGAUAACAGGCUGAUACCGCCCAAGAGUUCAUAUCGACGGCGGUGUUUGGCACCUCGAUGUCGGCUCAUCACAUCCUGGGGCUGAAGUAGGUCCCAAGGGUAUGGCUGUUCGCCAUUUAAAGUGGUACGCGAGCUGGGUUUAGAACGUCGUGAGACAGUUCGGUCCCUAUCUGCCGUGGGCGCUGGAGAACUGAGGGGGGCUGCUCCUAGUACGAGAGGACCGGAGUGGACGCAUCACUGGUGUUCGGGUUGUCAUGCCAAUGGCACUGCCCGGUAGCUAAAUGCGGAAGAGAUAAGUGCUGAAAGCAUCUAAGCACGAAACUUGCCCCGAGAUGAGUUCUCCCUGACUCCUUGAGAGUCCUGAAGGAACGUUGAAGACGACGACGUUGAUAGGCCGGGUGUGUAAGCGCAGCGAUGCGUUGAGCUAACCGGUACUAAUGAACCGUGAGGCUUAACCUU